AGAGUUUGAUCAUGGCUCAGAGUGAACGCUGGCGGCAUGCCUAACACAUGCAAGUCGAACGGGUUUCGGCAGCACAUCGCCGAGACAAGUGGCAGACGGGUGAGUAAUACGUGGAUAAUCUGCCUUCGAGAGGGGGAUAACCCCGGGAAACCGGGGCUAAUACCGCGUGAGACCACGAUCCCGCAUGGGAUUGAGGUUAAAGCUCCGCAAGGGGCGCUUGAAGAGGGGUCCACGGCCUAUCAGCUAGUUGGUGAGGUCAUGGCUUACCAAGGCUACGACGGGUAGCCGGUCUGAAAGGACGACCGGCCACAAUGGCACUGAGACACGGGCCAUACUCCUACGGGAGGCAGCAGUGGGGAAUUUUGCGCAAUGGGGGAAACCCUGACGCAGCAAUGCCGCGUGGAGGACGAAGGUCUUCGGAUUGUAAACUCCUUUUAUAGGGGAAAAAUGGCUUCGUGAAUAACGGAGCGUGAUUGUACCCUGUGAAUAAGCCACGGCUAACUUCGUGCCAGCAGCCGCGGUA
rnacentral:rRNA from 1 species